GGCUCAGGACGAACGCUGGCGGCGUGCUUAACACAUGCAAGUCGAACGAUGAACCACUUCGGUGGGGAUUAGUGGCGAACGGGUGAGUAACACGUGGGCAAUCUGCCCUGCACUCUGGGACAAGCCCUGGAAACGGGGUCUAAUACCGGAUACUGACCCGCUUGGGCAUCCAAGCGGUUCGAAAGCUCCGGCGGUGCAGGAUGAGCCCGCGGCCUAUCAGCUUGUUGGUGAGGUAAUGGCUCACCAAGGCGACGACGGGUAGCCGGCCUGAGAGGGCGACCGGCCACACUGGGACUGAGACACGGCCCAGACUCCUACGGGAGGCAGCAGUGGGGAAUAUUGCACAAUGGGCGAAAGCCUGAUGCAGCGACGCCGCGUGA
rnacentral:rRNA from 1 species